GUUACUGACAGAAUAAGCACCGGCUAACUCCGUGCCAGCAGCCGCGGUAAUACGGAGGGUGCGAGCGUUAAUCGGAAUUACUGGGCGUAAAGCGUACGCAGGCGGUUUGUUAAGCGAGAUGUGAAAGCCCCGGGCUCAACCUGGGAACUGCAUUUCGAACUGGCAAACUAGAGUGUGAUAGAGGGUGGUAGAAUUUCAGGUGUAGCGGUGAAAUGCGUAGAGAUCUGAAGGAAUACCGAUGGCGAAGGCAGCCACCUGGGUCAACACUGACGCUCAUGUACGAAAGCGUGGGGAGCAAACGGGAUUAGAUACCCCGGUAGUCCACGCCGUAAACGAUGUCUACUAGAAGCUCGGAGCCUCGGUUCUGUUUUGCGGGGGCACAGCUAACGCAUUAAGUAGACCGCCUGGGGAGUACGGCCGCAAGGUUAAAACUCAAAUGAAUUGACGGGGGCCCGCACAAGCGGUGGAGCAUGUGGUUUAAUUCGAUGCAACGCGAAGACCUUACCUACACUUGACAUACAGAGAACUUACCAGAGAUGGUUUGGUGCCUUCGGGAACUCUGAUACAGGUGCUGCAUGGCUGUCGUCAGCUCGUGUUGUGAGAUGUUGGGUUAAGUCCCGCAACGAGCGCAACCCCUACCUUAGUUCCAGCAGGUAAUGGUGAGAACUCUAAGGAGACUGCCGGUGAUAAACCGGAGGAAGGUGGGGACGACGUCAAGUCAUCAUGGCCCUUACGUGUAGGGCUACACACGUGCUACAAUGGUGCAUACAGAGUGCUGCGAACUCGCGAGAUUAAGCGAAUCACUUAAAGUGCGUCGUAGUCCGGAUUGGAGUCUGCAACUCGACUCCAUGAAGUCGGAAUCGCUAGUAAUCGCGUAUCAGAAUGACGCGGUGAAUACGUUCCCGGGCCUUGUACACACCGCCCGUCACACCAUGGGAGUGGGUUGCUCCAGAAGUAGAUAGUCUAACCCUCGGGAGGACGUUUACCACGGAGUGAUUCAUGACUGGGGUGAAGUCGUAACAAGGUAGCCCUAGGGGAACCUGCGGCUGGAU
rnacentral:rRNA from 1 species